UACGUAGGGAGCGAGCGUUGUCCGGAAUUACUGGGUGUAAAGGGAGUGCAGGCGGGACGGCAAGUCAGAUGUGAAAUAUAUGGGCUCAACCCAUAGGCUGCAUUUGAAACUGCUGUUCUUGAGUGAAGUAGAGGCAAGCGGAAUUCCUGGUGUAGCGGUGAAAUGCGUAGAUAUCAGGAGGAACAUCAGUGGCGAAGGCGGCUUGCUGGGCUUUUACUGACGCUGAGGCUCGAAAGCGUGGGGAGCAAACAGG
rnacentral:rRNA from 1 species